rnacentral:rRNA from 1 species
CCUACGGGUGGCAGCAGUAGGGAAUAUUUCACAAUGGGCGAAAGCCUGAUGGAGCAACGCCGCGUGCAGGAUGAAGGCCCUCGGGUUGUAAACUGCUUUUAUAAGCGAGAAAUAUGAUGGUACCUUAUGAAUACGGAUCGGCUAACUACGUGCCAGCAGCCGCGGUCAUCCGUAGGAGCCGAGCAUUAUCCGGAGUGACUGGGUGUAAAGACUUGCGUAGGUGGCAUAAUAAGUAGCUAGUGAAAUCUGGUGGCUCAACCAUUCAGACUAUUAGCUAAACUGUUAAGCUCGAGACCGUUAGGAGUAACUGGAAUGUGUAGUGUAGGAGUGAAAUCCGUAGAUAUUAGAAGGAACACCGAUAGCGUAGGCAGGUUACUGGGACGGUUCUGACACUAAGGCACGAAAGCGUAGGGAGCAAACGGGAUUAGAUACCCUGGUAGUC